CCUACGGGCUGCAGCAGUGGGGAAUAUUGGGCAAUGGGCGCAAGCCUGACCCAGCAACGCCGCGUGAAGGAAGAAGGCUUUCGGGUUGUAAACUUCUUUUGUCAGGGAAGAGUAGAAGACGGUACCUGACGAAUAAGCCACGGCUAACUACGUGCCAGCAGCCGCGGUAAUACGUAGGUGGCAAGCGUUGUCCGGAUUUACUGGGUGUAAAGGGCGUGUAGCCGGGUUGACAAGUCAGAUGUGAAAUCCUGCGGCCUAACCGCAGAACUGCAUUUGAAACUGUUGAUCUUGAGUACUGGAGAGGCAGAUGGAAGUCCUAGUGUAGCGGUGAAAUGCGUAGAUAUUAGGAGGAACACCAGUGGCGAAGGCGGUCUGCUGGACAGCAACUGACGGUGAGGCGCGAAAGCGUGGGGAGCAAACAGGAUUAGAUACCCGAGUAGUC
rnacentral:rRNA from 1 species